GACGAACGCUGGCGGCGGGCCUAAUACAUGCAAGUCGAACGCAGUGGGGACGGGUGAGGAACAAGUGGGUAACCUGCCAUCAGAGGGGAUAACACUUGGAAACAGGUGCUAAAACCGCUACGGGUGGAUGGACCCGGGGUGCAUUAGCUAGUUGGUGGGGUAACGGCUCACCAAGGCCACGAUGCAUAGCCGACCUGAGAGGGUGACCGGCCACACUGGGACUGAGACACGGCCCAGACUCCUACGGGAGGCAGCAGUAGGGAAUCUUCGGCAAUGGACGAAAGUCUGACCGAGCAACGCCGCGUGUGUGAAGAAGGUUUUCGGAUCGUAAAGCUCUGUUGUUAGAGAAGCGGUAUCUAACCAGAAAGCACCGGCUAACUACGUGCCAGCAGCCGCGGUAAUAC
rnacentral:rRNA from 1 species